rnacentral:lncRNA from 1 species
AGUGGUCGCCGAUAUAUUAUUGUGACAAGUCAAAACACACUUAUCAUUAACCCCAAUUGAAUUCGAACACUUAGAAACAAGUCUAGGGCCACCAACUACUCGUUGUCAUUUCUUACCCUCAACACUAGGCAAAGGCUGGCUUCCAAAUCAUGAACCAUCAACAGCAUUCCCACCACACCCAAAACACCACCCUGUCCCCUGAAAGCAUUUCCCUUCAAAUUAAACCCCAACACUGGAUUGAUAGGACCCGAAGCAGGUUCGAAAGGCUUUGUCCAAAUACCACUGCAAAAAAUCCUAUCCGAAGAAACCCCAUCCACGAAACUCCCAGCAGCUUCCUUCCACAGCCAAACACUUUCAACAACAGUGGCCCUCCAACCUACUGCCCAUAGAGAUGCAUCCCACCCCAUAUCUGAAU